UACGACCAUAUCACGUUGAAACACCGUUUCCCGUACGAUCAUCGAAGUUAAGCAACUUCGAGCUUGGACAGUACCUUGAUGCGAGAACGCUUGGGAAUACCAGGUGU